rnacentral:tRNA from 1 species
CGUGACAUUGUCUACGGUCUACUGAUUUGUAAUCAGUAGGUCGCGGGUUCGACUCCUGCAAAUCACAU